CACGUAGGGGGCGAGCGUUGUCCGGAUUUAUUGGGCGUAAAGAGCUCGUAGGCGGCUCAGUAAGUCAGGUGUGAAAACUCCAGGCUCAACCUGGAGACGCCACCUGAUACUGCUGUGGCUAGAGUCCGGUAGGGGAGCAUGGAAUUCCUGGUGUAGCGGUGAAAUGCGCAGAUAUCGAGAGGAACACCAGUGGCGAAGGCGAGUCCCUGGACAACUCCUGACACUGAGGCACGAAAGCUAGGGGAGCAAACAGG
rnacentral:rRNA from 1 species